GUGAUCACCUCUGCCCCUCCCUGCUCCACACUCAGCUUCCAGGAAAGCGAAGAAUCAAGCCACAAAGUGGAGUCAUGAUUCUGUGCUUUUCACAAACCUUGCCUUUUGACAAAGUACUUGCAGGUGUGUAAUUUGUUAAGCACUCGCAACAACGCUGUGGGGAAGAUAUGACCCCAUUUUUCAGUUGCAGAAACGAAGGCCAGGGAGGUUGCAGGUCACGGAAGUAGUAAGAGGCGGGGUCUAGCCUGGAACACUUCCCAGUCCAGCAAAAUCUCCAUCACAAAUACCCCUUCCAAUUUCACAACCACUGUAAAUCCCCAAGCCAAGCUCAUUGUCUGCAAAUUGGGGAUGACCUCAGGCAGGGCCCAGAUUUCUGUGUCCAGCUAGUUCUGAAGAGAGGUGGGAAGAGAGAAGCCAGGGAGAAGGAGGGUGGUCCCAGUCUGUGCCAGGGGAGGAGCGGAAGAAGGAGGAAUUCUUGGUAGCCCCUUCCCACUGUGCUCCUACAAUGAGCUGCACUUCGGGCCAGGGACCAGGCUCACUGUGCUAAGUAAGAAGGUUGCUCCAGGGGGGAGGGAGGAUGGGCUGCCCAGCCUGGAUGACCUCCUGAAUCCUGGCUUUUGGGGAGUGGACGCUGGACCCUCCUGGGCUGCUCUCAGGGAAGGCUAAGUUUGUGCCUGAGUUCCCAGGGCUGUGUGAACACCGAGCUGUAUUUUGGCAAUGGUUCCAAGCUGACUGUGCUGGGGCUGUGAGCAACGACCCUCUGUUCUUCGGCGGGGGCACCCGGCUGACUGUGCUAGGUGAGCGGGGUGCCCUGGGGCGUUAGGAGCGGAAAGGGGCGUUCAGGACGCCAGCAGGGCCGCGGGACCCCUUUUUGUGCUGAGCCCAGAAGCUGUGAGCACUGAAACUCAGUACUUCGGCGCGGGCACCCGGCUGUCGGUGCUAGGUGAGCGGGGACGCUGCCGCCGGGGACGGGGCGGGACGCGCGGCGGGUUUUUGCGCGGCGCUGGGGGGCCGUGACUCUCCCCCGGUUUUCGGGCCGGGCACGCGGCUCCUGGUGCUAGGUGAGCUCGGGCGGCGCGCCUCGGUUUCGGUGGGGAGCCCCGGGGCUGUGCUUUACAGGCGCCGCCCUGCCCUUCGGGGCCGGCAGCCGGCUGACCGUGGUGGGUGAGUGUCCGCGGGCCCGGCAGCGGCGGCGGGGCGAGAUGGAAGGCGGCGAGCGCGGGGCGGGGCGGCCGCGGGCACCUGGUCCCCUCGCAGCACUGAAGCGGGGCGCUGGGACCCGGGAGCGGCCUGGAGCUGCGGGGGUUUGAGUGCGGGGCUUCUCACUGUGCUCCUAUGAGCAGUAUUUUGGCCCAGGCACCAGGCUCACGGUCAUAGGUAAGAUUUGGAUGCCUCCCCUCCUUCCAGCCCGGCUCCUGGGGGGUCCCCAGAGAUGGGUGCUGCGGGCUGGAGCUGGGGCGCGUGUCCAUUUGUCCAUCUGGGGGUCAACUCUGCAAGGGAGGUGGGGAAUAUUGGGUGCGGAGGGUUUUGGGUAGGGAUAAUCCCGGGACGGGAAUUUGGACAGAGGGAAAGGGGGGCUUUGGUCUCUUUGUUUCUGAGAUAUUUAGGGACAGGGUGAGCAUUGGAGAAAGAGGAUUUACUGGGACUCUGAGAGCUGCUUGAUUGGAGAAAAAGACCGAGGAGGGCAGUCUGGGCUGGGGGAAGGGCAGGAGGGUGUAGCUGAUGCAAAGGGGAGAAUGAGCCCGAGGGGCAGAAACAAGCAGGGAUGAGCGCAGGAUGCGGCCCCCUGCACAGCCGGCUCCUGGGAGGUGCAGAUGGAGGCUUCCACUGAACACAGGAGAAAAAGGAUGACAAACAAGAGUGUGGAACAGAGAGUGAGAGAGAGAAACACGAGGCAUGAGGGAGAGAAAAUCAGCGGGGUUUGUUGAUUUACUGUUUAGAAGUUUAGAUUUGAAAUUAGCUUUAAAACCUCUUCCUCUCUUCCUAAGCCCCAGACCCCUGAGGGCCAGGCUGUGUGUACAGCACACGGGGGCUAGAUGGGAACCUGGGCCACUGGGUGGAUUUACUCACCAAACGUACCCCCCUCAUCCCCUAGCCGGAAAUCUCCCUCCUCACACCAUGUCUUCUAGGUUAAACAGCCAGGUGGGGCAGGACAUACAUGAAAAUGCAGAUACUUUGCUUGUGAGCUGAGGAACAUUCCCUGGAGGAUCUUAGGCUCUUUGUGCUGGAAAAGGACCUUAAAGGUCACCUGCUGUGGGAGUAUUGAGCUUCCAGAGGGGAAGAAACCCUCAAUACCAGUAUAUUUACCUGGAUGAUUUGACAACAGCAAGGGUGCUUGCAGUUAGGCGAAUUAAGAUGGAGCCAAUGAGGAUCAGCUGAAGUGUUUGUUCCCAGAGGAAAGCUGGGUUUCUGUAAUCAGCCAGGGUGGAGAAAAGCAGGAGACCUCAGAACCAGGUAAAUCUGGGUCCCAAGCCCUGGCCCCUUAAUGAUCCAGUACCUCGGAAAAAUGAAUCUGUGUGCACAGGUCACACACCCAAGAAGCCAGCCCGCUAGUCAGGUCACAUCCAGGGAAAUGUGAAGAGUCGGUUAGAAGAACAUUUUCUCCAUCUUCCAGCCUAAACUAGAUCUCUUUUAGAGUGAGAUGUCUUCCUUUUAACAGAAUUGCUCAGAAACAAACAAAACAAUCGAUAAAAA